rnacentral:rRNA from 1 species
AUGAACGCUGGCGGCGUGCCUAAUACCUGCAAGUCGAGCGAACAGAUGAGGAGCUUGCUCCUCUGACGUUAGCGGCGGACGGGUGAGUAACACGUGGAUAACCUACCUAUAAGACUGGGAUAACUUCGGGAAACCGGAGCUAAUACCGGAUAAUAUAUUGAACCGCAUGGUUCAAUAGUGAAAGACGGUUUUGCUGUCACUUAUAGAUGGAUCCGCGCCGCAUUAGCUAGUUGGUAAGGUAACGGCUUACCAAGGCAACGAUGCGUAGCCGACCUGAGAGGGUGAUCGGCCACACUGGAACUGAGACACGGUCCAGACUCCUACGGGAGGCAGCAGUAGGGAAUCUUCCGCAAUGGGCGAAAGCCUGACGGAGCAACGCCGCGUGAGUGAUGAAGGUCUUCGGAUCGUAAAACUCUGUUUUUAGGGAAGAACAAAUGUGUAAGUAACUAUGCACGUCUUGACGGUACCUAAUCAGAAAGCCACGGCUAACUACGUG